ACUGAGAAAUAGGCCUCAUAGACUUUCUUCUCUCCUUCCUAUCUCCUCUCUCUUUCCUCUCUCUUUCCUCUCUCUCUUUCUCUCUCUUAAAAGUAGCUGAGAUGUUUGUGAGAGAGGGAGAGGGAGUG
rnacentral:ribozyme from 13 species